rnacentral:rRNA from 1 species
AUGAAUUUAAUUCCGAAAAUCUCUACUGUCAAAGGCUCCAAGUGCCAAGUAUGUGUGCAAGCUAAGCAACCUCGCAAGUCCCAUAAGACUGCAGAGGCAAGAGACUUGGCGCCACUAGAGCUUAUACAUUCUGAUCUUUGUGAGAUGAAUGGCGUGUUGACAAAAGGUGGAAAGAGAUACUUCAUGACGUUGAUUGAUGACUCCACUAGAAAUUGUUAUGUGUAUCUUCUGAAAUCAAAAGAUGAGGCUUUGACUGUCUUUAAAAACUAUAAAGCUGAGGCAGAGAACCAACUUGAUCGAAAAAUUAAACGGCUUAGGUCCGAUCGUGGUGGAGAGUAUUUUUCCAAUGAAUUUGAUCUGUUUUGUGUGGAACAUGGUAUAAUCCAUGAGAGGACACCUCCCUACUCACCCCAGUCAAAUGGGGUAGCCGAAAGAAAGGACCGAACUCUAACUGAUAUGGUUAACACCAUGUUAGACACUUCGGGUCUAUCCAAGGAAUGGUGGGGGAGGCGCUAA